UACGGGGGGGGUAAGCGUUGUUCGGAAUUACUGGGCGUAAAGGGCUCGUAGGCGGCCAACUAAGUCAUACGUGAAAUCCCUCAGCUUAACUGGGGAACUGCGUGUGAUACUGGAUGGCUUGGAUUUGGGAGAGGGAUGCGGAAUUCCAGGUGUAGCGGUGAAAUGCGCAGAUAUCAGGAGGAACACCGAUGGCGAAGGCAGGUCUCUGGGCAUUAACUGACGCUGAUGGACGAAAGCGUGGGGAGCGAACAGG
rnacentral:rRNA from 1 species